CUCACCCUUGAAUUUUCACACACACCUCCUCUUAAUUUUGGCAUUAAAACCUAAUCCAUAUCAGCCCAUCUAAUGCCCCAUAAGAUGCAUGGUUUAAAUAGGAAAAAGAUAGAGUUUAGGUGAGAGUCCAAACUCCUUUGGACUCUAGGAUUUUGAUAGCACCCACAACUCAGAUUUUUGCACCCACCUAUCUCACAGAAAGAAGAAUUUUAAAAGUCCUUACAUGCUAAAAAGGAGAGAGGGCGUGGGAUAUUUGUAGCGUCCAAACUUGGUUGGCAUGGGGUUAUUAUGUGGUGCAUGGAGAGGAGAGUUUAAUCCAUUCAAGACUCUUCUUUAGAUGACUGAUUUAAAUUAAUCUAAACUCUAACCAAUUCUAAUCAUAUUAGAAAUUAAUUAGAUCCAAAUAGAUUGAAAUCCAAAUUUGAUUAAGAGUUCAAACUAUUUAGAUUAGAUGUCACCUAAUUAUAGAAGGAGUCUUAGUCCUUUUGGACUCUCUCUUGGUGCUUGAGUCAAACUCAAUUUAAUCCUAAUCUAAUUAGGAUUUAGUGCACCCAUGAAGAGAAGAAUUUCUAGUCCAAAUAGAAACUCAAAUACUCUUGGUUAGAUCCUAGUCUAAUUUAGAAUUAAGUCAAAUCCAAAUCCUAAUUCAACAAGAAAUUAUUCUCCCAUGCAAUUUGAUUAUCUCAUAACCCAUCUAGGUUUGAUCACAUCAAACCCAUAUCAAGUCAAAUUGAAUCUAAUUCAACUAGACUUAAGAUAAGCCCCAUUGCUCAAUCAAAUUGAGCUAAUUAGUAAUCCAAUUGCUAAUUAGUCCUCCUAUAACUCACUAACUCUUUAGCGAAUUACUUUAUUACAACUUUUGCAUUGGAUUAAUCAUCAAUCAAAUUGAUAAUUAAAUUCUAUCACGAUUCAUAAUUAUAAUUUAACCAUUUAAUUAGUCAAAAGCCUCUUUGUGUGUGAUCUUAUAGAUUUUAUUCUAUCUAAUAGUGAGAUAUAUUAUGAUCUCUAUCACAAUAUCAUCAAAACUCUUUUCAAUAGGUUGAAAUCAUUCUAACUCUGCCAAUCAAAGAUCAUCAAUCAUCGAGAUGAUGUUUGUAGGUCUCAUAAUCCAUAAUGACAUCUAGCAGUAUGUAGUAGCAAUCCAACAAAAUAAAAGAUGUUGAACCUCUAGAUGCAGUUAACGUAUGAUACAGUCUUUCUAUCGUGAGUCUCGAUCAGAUGGCAGAUCAUGGAUAAAUCAUCAAACCUCAUUAUCGAUCAUAUGAUAGAUUC
rnacentral:lncRNA from 1 species